rnacentral:rRNA from 1 species
GACGAACGCUGGCGGCGUGCUUAACACAUGCAAGUCGAACGGUAAGGCCCUUCGGGGUACACGAGUGGCGAACGGGUGAGUAACACGUGGGUGAUCUGCCCUGCACUUCGGGAUAAGCCUGGGAAACUGGGUCUAAUACCGGAUAGGACUCCGGACUGCAUGGUCUGGGGUGGACAGCUUUUGCGGUGUGGGAUGGGCCCGCGGCCUAGCAGCUUGUUGGUGGGGUGAUGGCCUACCAAGGCGACGACGGGUAGCCGGCCUGAGAGGGUGACCGGCCACACUGGGACUGUGAUACGGCCCAGACUCCUACGGGAGGCAGCAGUGGGAAAUAUUGCACAAUGGGCGCAAGCCUGAUGCAGCGACGCCGCGUGAGGGAUGACGGCCUUCGGGUUGUAAACCUCUUUCAGCAUCGACGAAGCGAAAGUGACGGUAGGUGCAGAAGAAGGACCGGCCAACUACGUGCCAGCAGCCGCCGUAA